GUAUACUUCCUUACAGGCGCCAGGCCUGCUUUCGACCCCCGAACUUACGAUCUCCCGACCAAAGUUGAUGCGUAAUUCGGGGGUUUUUGCGU
rnacentral:antisense_RNA from 1 species